AACGAACGCUGGCGGCAUGCCUAACACAUGCAAGUCGAACGAGACCUUCGGGUCUAGUGGCGCACGGGUGCGUAACGCGUGGGAACCUGCCCUUAGGUUCGGAAUAACUCCCCGAAAGGGGUGCUAAUACCGGAUAAUGUCUUCGGACCAAAGAUUUAUCGCCUUCGGAUGGGCCCGCGUUGGAUUAGCUAGUUGGUAGGGUAAAAGCCUACCAAGGCGACGAUCCAUAGCUGGUCUGAGAGGAUGAUCAGCCACACUGGGACUGAGACACGGCCCAGACCCCUGCGGGGGGGAGAAGGGGGGAAUAUGGGACAAGGGGGGAAAGCAUAAUCCAGCAGGGCCGGGAAGGAGAUGAAGGCGUGAGGGUUGUAAGUCUCUUUUACCCGGGAUGUUAAUAAGUGAACCGGAGAAAAAAGCCCGGGUAACCUCGGG
rnacentral:rRNA from 1 species